rnacentral:tRNA from 1 species
GCAUCGGUGGUUCAGUGGUAGAAUGCUCGCCUGCCACGCGGGCGGCCGGGGUACGAUUCCCGGCCUAUGUA